ensembl:lincRNA
CCCUGGGAAAGGCUUAAGCUCAAAUGUCAUUUCUGGUUCUCAUUGCAGCCCCUCUUUGAGCCGAAGGACUAGAAGAACAAAAGACUCAGCCCCAAGGUUAUCCGUGCUCACCUAGCAACACUGGCUGUGGCUGAGGAGUGGUGUUCCUCUACACAGAGCCUGGGCUUUCCUCCAGACUUGCUGCCCUCAUGCAAGCCUCCUGCCUGAUGUCACCUGCCUGAUGCUGGUGCUUUUCGACUGCUGUAUCUAUGAAGGGAGAAGCAUUUGCUGCUGAAAGAGUUAUUGUAUUUGCUAUUGGCAACACUUGAGAGUAAAGUUUAGCAGAGUAAGAGAGACAUAAAUCUAGAGGUUUGGGGUAGUUUCUUUUUAAAGGAUGUAUCAUUUGUUUAUUUUAAAAAGUCUAAGAAGAAAAGAGGAAAGCAGCGGACACUUUUGAGAGCAUUUGAGGGUUAGAAAAGAUUUACAUCUUAGGAAUGAGGAUCCUUGAGCUUGUUUCCAAGUUCAUGGUGUUUUGAGUGUGGCAAGACUUUUUAAUACUAUGAAUGAUGCCCAUGGAAUCUUCUGUAACACUCAAUUGACGGGAAUCCUGAGGUACUAUAUAUCCCAGAUCUUAAUUUUCCCAAACACAUUGGAGUAUGAAGGACACGUUGUGAAUGACAGAAUUCUGUCAUUAUAUUUAAUUUACUAUCAAAUUUACCUACUAAAGUAGAGGACUGAUUAAGAUAAAUACAGACAAUGAUCUCAUCCUGGAAGGAAUUACUAUGGAAAAAGAAUUUGACAAGAAGAUCCCCUUUUUAUCUGAACAAUAAAACAUAUCAAUUUCUCCAAGCUCUUAUGUUUGGCCAGUUCAUCUGGUGAGAGAAUGGAAAAAGGGAGACAUUCAUCAAUUUUACAACCUGCAGUCCAUCAUCAGACCAAAUCAGGAAGAAGAGUGCAUGGAGAAAACAUUUGGGAAGAAAAGGUAUUUUCAAAACAUCUGGAGCAAGAGACAAAUCCCAUCAGCUCAGUUCCAACAAUAUAUGCAGAUGGGCAACUGAUGGUCAGACUCCAGUGGUUCUUCAAAACUUUCUAGGAGGUAAACAAGAUGAAAGGGAAAGCACACAAAUUUGCUGGAAUUUGGAAAACACGAACCCUGGAAUUUGGAGGAGUCACUUCCACUGGAAAAUACUUUUAUAUUAUUUAUAGUAAGUAGAGAAUGCUUAAAAAUCAUUAGUAUCAUUUCAUAUGGCUGGAUAAAUAAUAAUU